rnacentral:rRNA from 1 species
GAUCAUGGCUCAGAUUGAACGCUGGCGGCAGGCCUAACACAUGCAAGUCGAACGGUAACAGGAAGCAGCUUGCUGCUUCGCUGACGAGUGGCGGACGGGUGAGUAAUGUCUGGGAAACUGCCUGAUGGAGGGGAUAACUACUGGAAACGGUAGCUAAUACCGCAUAACGUCGCAAGACCAAAGAGGGGGACCUUGGGCCUCUUGUCCAUCGGAUGUGUCCCAGAUGGGAUUAGCG